rnacentral:rRNA from 1 species
UACGUAGGGGGCAAGCGUUGUCCGGAAUCAUUGGGCGUAAAGCGCGCGUAGGCGGUUAUUUAAGUUGGAUGUGAAAGCCCUCGGCUUAACUGAGGAAGUGCAUCCAAAACUGAAUAGCUAGAGUACGAAAGAGGGUCGCGGAAUUCCCGGUGUAGAGGUGAAAUUCGUAGAUAUCGGGAGGAACACCGGUGGCGAAGGCGGCGACCUGGGUCGAGACUGACGCUGAGGCGCGAAAGCGUGGGGAGCAAACAGG